UGCCUACGGGGGGCUGCAGUGGGGAAUAUUGCACAAUGGGGGAAACCCUGAUGCAGCCAUGCCGCGUGUGUGAAGAAGGCCUUCGGGUUGUAAAGCACUUUCAGUCAGGAGGAAAGGUGGCUAGCUAAUACCUAGUUGCUGUGACGUUACUGACAGAAGAAGCACCGGCUAACUCCGUGCCAGCAGCCGCGGUAAUACGGAGGGUGCAAGCGUUAAUCGGAAUUACUGGGCGUAAAGCGCACGCAGGCGGCUUGUUAAGUCAGAUGUGAAAGCCCCGGGCUCAACCUGGGAACUGCAUUUGAAACUGACAAGCUAGAGUCUUGUAGAGGGGGGUAGAAUUCCAGGUGUAGCGGUGAAAUGCGUAGAGAUCUGGAGGAAUACCGGUGGCGAAGGCGGCCCCCUGGACAGAGACUGACGCUCAGGUGCGAAAGCGUGGGGAGCAAACAGGAUUAGAUACCCUUGUAGUCG
rnacentral:rRNA from 1 species